rnacentral:rRNA from 1 species
GAUGAACGCUGGCGGCGUGCCUAAUACAUGCAAGUCGAGCGAACAGACGAGGAGCUUGCUCCUCUGACGUUAGCGGCGGACGGGUGAGUAACACGUGGAUAACCUACCUAUAAGACUGGGAUAACUUCGGGAAACCGGAGCUAAUACCGGAUAACAUGUUGAACCGCAUGGUUUAACAGUGAAAGACGGUCUUGCUGUCACUUAUAGAUGGAUCCGCGCCGCAUUAGCUAGUUGGUAAGGUAACGGCUUACCAAGGCAACGAUGCGUGGCCGACCUGAGAGGGUGAUCGGCCACACUGGAACUGAGACACGGUCCAGACUCCUACGGGAGGCAGCAGUAGGGAAUCUUCCGCAAUGGGCGAAAGCCUGACGGAGCAACGCCGCGUGAGUGAAGAAGGUCUUCGGAUCGUAAAACUCUGUUAUUAGGGAAGAACAAAUGUGUAAGUAACUAUGCACGUCUUGACGGUACCUAAUCAGAAAGCCACGGCUAACUACGUG